UAUCACUCCUACGGGAGGCAGGCAGUGGGGAAUAUUGCACAAUGGGCGCAAGCCUGAUGCAGCCAUGCCGCGUGUGUGAAGAAGGCCUUCGGGUUGUAAAGCACUUUCAGUAGGGAGGAAGGUAGUGUAGUUAACACCUGCACUAUUUGACGUUACCUACAGAAGAAGCACCGGCUAACUCCGUGCCAGCAGCCGCGGUAAUACGGAGGGUGCGAGCGUUAAUCGGAAUUACUGGGCGUAAAGCGUCAUGCAGGCGGCCUGUUAAGUCAGAUGUGAAAGCCCGGGGCUUAACCUCGGAAUUGCAUUUGAAACUGGCAGGCUAGAGUCUUGUAGAGGGGGUAGAAUUUCAGGUGUAGCGGUGAAAUGCGUAGAGAUCUGAAGGAAUACCAGUGGCGAAGGCGGCCCCCCUGGACAAAGACUGACGCUCAGAUGCGAAAGCGUGGGGAGCAAACAGGAUUAGAUACCCUGGUAG
rnacentral:rRNA from 1 species